GGGCCCGCACAAGCGGUGGAGCAUGUGGUUUAAUUCGAUGCAACGCGAAAAACCUUACCAGGCCUUGACAUCCUGAGAAUUCGGUAGAGAUACCUUAGUGCCUUCGGGAACUCAGUGACAGGUGUUGCAUGGCUGUCGUCAGCUCGUGUCGUGAGAUGUUGGGUUAAGUCCCGUAACGAGCGCAACCCUUAUCCUUAUUUGCCAGCACUUCGGGUGGGAACUUUAAGGAGACUGCCGGUGACAAACCGGAGGAAGGAGAGGAUGAUGUCAAGUCAUCAUGGCCCUUACGGCCUGGGCUACACACGUGCUACAAUGGGCAGUACAGAGGGCCGCGAUACCGCGAGGUGGAGCA
rnacentral:rRNA from 1 species